GGCAAGUCUUCCUUAGCAUACUUUCUGUGUUUAAUAUACACAGUUCUGGUUUUGUAUUUCUCUGCAUUUUAGGGUGCAACAGUGUUUGUCACAGUGUUUGAGAUCUCAAUGCAGCAGUGGAUGAGAAAUAAUCUAGUAUUUCCAAAGGUGGUUAGAACUUUACCCUGCAAGCUUUUCUUAUGUCAAAUAGUGCUAUUUAGACUUUCUUCGUGUUACAUGACAUUCACCUGCCACUGUGCUGCAGCUUAGCCCAAAGCCAGUGUGACAGAGCGACUUUACUUGGAAUGUCUUCAGAUAAAGAUUUACUGGAGGAAAGAGCUCAGAGUGGAAAGAGAACUUUCUCUCUCCUCUGCCCCUCGUUACAGGCUGACAACCUACAUGCAUCAUCUCGUGUGACUCAGUUUCUUUCAACAUAAUUGAACCUUGUGAGCACCAAGGUCAAAGAAUAAGGAGAGGGAGGAGUACUGCAGCAGAGAUUCCUCUGGAGGACACCAUGGGAAGCUGUUAUUCCACCGCAGCCUGUGAAAGAUACCAUGCCUGAGCAGCUGGAUUACACCUGAAGGAGCUACAGCCUGAGGAGGAUGCACACUGGAACUGGUUUAACCUGGAAGAAGGCAGCCUUAGAGAGGACUCAUGUUGGAGCAGUGCCAUACUCUUCAAUGUUGUGAGACUAUAGUGCUGCACUUACGGUAAGAAAGCUACAAUCUCAGAUAUCACUGCAAGAAACCCAAGAUAUAUGAAGACAAGACAGUGCCAUUUACAGUCAAAACAAGGAAACUUUUGUGGAUGGAGUAGAAUCUGGGUGCUAUUUUCAUGAUGAUAUAAAUAUCCCAUGGGAUUUGGAAACACACUGUCCAGUUUCUGACUCUGCACCUAACAAACGCUUCAGUGGACAAGAUUUUUUUCCAAAGCUCAGUGUAAACAUCACUACAAAGAGGAAUCUGAAAAUUCAAGUUCCUGAACUACCAGAUUGCUUUUGAAAUUUGAAAAGCAGAUAAACCUUUCAAUCUGCGGCUUUCAGUGCUUCUGAAGUUCCCAGUUCCAAAGCGGUUGUUAUGGAGGAGUUAUCUCAGAGACACAGAUACUAAAAGCCUCUGUUGUCCUGCAGUUCACUGAGCAAUUUGACAAAAAUACUAGGUCAUUUGAAUAUGAUUUUCCAAGGAGAUAACUAAAAGAAGAGAUUAUUGAGUACAUUCCCAUGAAGAAGAGGCUUUCCUUUCUCAGAUUCCCAGGAGCUCCUUGGGAAAACAGAUUUUUAUUUUAAUAUAGCUGCCUUAUCCAUUGACAAACAGAGAAGCUUUACUUCUGAUAGAAAAUUAUAUGCCUGUAGGCAGUGCCUGGAAAAUGAAGAAAUGCUUGCGUCUUUGCUAAGGUUCUUGGAUAACCUUUUGCCACAGCAAAUCCCACAGAUCCUACAGAAUUUCAAGGAGUGGACAGCCAGGAGACAAUGUGUUUUUGAAAAAAGUAUUUUGGAAUUGCCUUUAGUAGAUUUUUCUUAACUUUCUUGUGUGGCAAAAAGUCAGUAUUUUUCCUACACCUGCACAUGUAAUUGAACAUGGAAAGAAUGUCUGAAAAUGUAUUCUAAAAUUAUAUUCAGUAUAAAACUGAUAAUUACCCAAGUAGCCCUUAUUUUGUGUAAGAGAAAGGAAGAUUAUACAAGGAUAUCAAUUAACUAAUGUUGUAAAACAUUGCCAGUGUUUUGAAAGGACAAGUUUUAUUUCUGGUACUUAGCAUCGUGCUCAGUACCUGACAAAUUUAGUAUUUACAAAAAUAUUAUCCAGCUAGGUAAAACUGAAAUAAGUGGACCAAUACAGAAUAAAGAAUUACAUCGGUAUAUCAGAUGAAGUUGG